rnacentral:lncRNA from 1 species
GUAUACUUUGUUUAUCUUGCAGAUUCAAGACGAGAAAUUGUACCCACUGGGUGAACAGCUUGAGCCAGAAUUAGGAGGGAAGGUGACAGGGAUACUGGGUGAAGCAAUGGAAGCUCUGCAAGGAAGGAAACUGGAAGAGGCCAGGGAUACUGUUGACCUCGCAACCAUACCAUCAUCAUCGACCUUGAGUGUUAGCAGAGAUGCUAUUGACCCCGCUUCGACAGCGUCGUCCUCGAGUGCUUCCGCUGACGGUGCUAACCUUGCUCCGUCACCAUCAUCCUCGAGUGCUUGAACGCUGGUUCCUAACAUCUCUGUCGACCUGAAAUUUAGAUGGUUGGAUAAUGUUUAAGAAGAUUCCUGGUUUGAUGUUGCUUCAUGAUAUUUUCUGUCAGAGUUUUAUUCUUGUUUGUUUGUUUGUUCUUUGGUUAAAGUGCAACUGCAUUUUCCCCAAUAUUUAGGAUAACUUCAUCAAAUAAAAAAAUUAGACAGUGCCCUCUUCCUUUGGCAGUGAUUCUAGUUUCUUCCAAUAUUACGUAAAAGAUAUAAUAGUUUAACGAUAUCUGUUUAACAAUUCAUGAUGGCCUCACAAAACACACAGAGAUGCUAUUGACCCCGCUUCCACAGCGUCGUCCUCGAUUGCUUCCGCUGACGGUGCUAACCUCGCUCCGGCACCGUCAUCCUCAAGUGCUUGAAUGCUGGUUCCUAAUAUCUCUAUCUCGACCUGAAAUUUAGAUGGUUGGAUAAUGUUUAAGAAGAUUCCUG